CCACCAACAUUUUAUGCAAGAUCGCUUCAUACCAUACUGAAUCGUAGGCUUUCUCUACACACCAAAUUUUCGAUCUAUCUUCCAGCAAUUUCGUUUGCUGAAACCAAUUCAGCAAUGCACUAUUUUACUGAUAUUCAGCACUUAUGAAAUUGUUUACUGGAAUUCAGUAAUCUAACUUGCUGGAUACUUGUCAAUACCAUCGGAAUUGCUGAUUUUCAGUAAUUUACAUGACAGAUGAUUGAUGACCAGCAAUCGAUUUGAAAUUUUGCCGAAAACCAGCAAACAUAAUUACUGAACUUGCAUCAGCAAUUGUUUUAUUUGCUGAAAAUCAGCAAACAGUUUUACUUGUCAACCGAUAAAUAUAAAACAGUCCCGCUCGUUUCAUUGGCUUCCCUGGCAUGGAGUUUUAACGAAAAUUUAACCAAUCAGUACAUUUUUACAUCCUUUGGAGUAUCGUAUUUGGAUAGCAACGACACUCGAACAGCAGGCGGUACUUUUCCUCUACCAAUUGGUCCUAUUCGUUUCCCCAACGGCGCAGAAACAUGGUGUGAAUGUAUGGUUUUGUUAAAUAAAUCAUGGAAUGUUACGCAAUUGCA